ACAUGGCGGUGUAACAUUGCGAGGUUUAAAUAUAAAGCAUUUAGUCAAGUUAGGUCAUUAUUUAGCUAAAUUAAUGAUUUACAUUAGGAUAUGACAAACUGUAAAAAGUAAUUAUAUUAGGAGAGAUUAAAUUCCCAGGAAAAUGGAGAAUCAUGUUACAACAUAAAAAUUUUCAUGAAGAUGAAUGGAGGGGACAUCUCAUCAUCAGGGAAUAUAAUAUCAGGGAGUAUAAGUGCAUGAUGAGAUACUGACAUUUGAAAAAUGUCUACUACGUGAUAGGCCUACAGUAAGGACAAGAGGGACUAUAAUUCAACCAGGAGAAAAAAAUGGGGUAUGUGUGUUGGUGAGCUCAACGACUGUUAGAUACCUUCAGAUAGUUGAGGUUGGCCUGAAGGUUUCUAAGGUGAGACAAGACCUGUCUGCUAAAAGACGAGAGGCUGCCAGCCUGUGACGUUGAA